GGAUAUGUAGCUCAAGUGGUAGAGCACAUGCUUAGCAUACAUGAGGUCCUGGGUUCAACCCCCAGUACCUCCU
rnacentral:tRNA from 1 species